AGGCUGGGAAUUUAGCCCAAUUGCUGAUUGGCUAGCUCCAUUUCACACCUCCUCUUUGCUUCUGAUCUCAUUACACUACUGUUAAGAGCCACAAGACUAGAUGACUGAUUAUCUCUCAGCUUUAUUGAGAUAUAAUACCAUAAAGUUCACCUGUUUAAAGUAUAUGAUUCAAUAUAAUCUAAUUUUCUUUUAAUUACUCAUCAAACAGUAGUAUACCUAUGCUUUAGUAUAGCCUUUUAAGUACAUCAACAUGUGAUAAAAGGAAGAAAAAAACUGUUUCAGUUAUUUCACAGCUAUUUUAACUCUGGAGUGGUUUUCAGCAUUGGAAAAGAGUCGAGUACCAAAAAAAAAUUUUUUUUGACCACGCCUGCAGAAUGUGGAAAUUCUUGGGCCAGGAGUUGAACCCACACCACAGCAGUGACCCAAACCACAGAAGUAGCAACACUAGACCUGCUGAGCCACCAUGGAAGUCCAGAAAUUUAUUUUUAAGGUAAAACAUGAGGAUAUACUUCAUUGAAAAAAUAAGCCUUUUUAAUCAGUGAAUUUGCAGGCUACUCUUGUUGCUUAGGCCAUAUGAAUUUGAAUAAUCCAUUUUACAUUUUAUCAGACCAUGGAAAAUGAAUUCAAUGAGGGGAAUGCCUCUAUUUCAGAACUAUUGCUACAGUAGGUUAUAUUCAGGGUGGAGAUAGAAAAAAGAGCUAAAGGAAGUUGCAGUUCUAAUUACCAAGCAGGUUGUAUAAUGUAAUUUGAUUUCCCAUUAAAGAAAGAAAAAAACACUCUUAUAUCUUAGUGUUUUUUUAGCUAAAGAUUGAUGGAUAUUUAAUAAUUGUUCCUUCUUAUUAUCUGAAUGCUUCUCAGACUUCUUUACUCAAGUGCUUCUGACACUGUGGAGGAGGGAAAAUCCAGAAGUAUCAAAGAAUAGAACCAGGUAUUGUCUCUCCGUCCUCCUAUAAAAUUAAAUCUCAGGAGUUCUCUCUGGCACAGUGGGAUCAGUGGCAUCUCUGCAGCACCAGGGCACAGGUUCAAUCCCCACCCCAGCACAGUGGAUUAAAGGAUCUGGCUUUGCUGCAGUUGUGACGUAAGUUGCAACUGGCAGAUCACAGCUCUCCAAUUAGACCCCUAGCCUGGGAACCUCCAUAUGCCGUGGGUGCAGCCCUAAAGAGACAAAAAGACAAAAAAAAAAAAAAGUAAGUAUACUGUUAAAAGGUUGCAGUAAUUUCACUUAACACUUCUGGAUUGCUCUCCAGAAAUGGCUUUCUAUAACUGACAUUAAUCGGCAAAGCAUGAGGGUUUCACGUUCCCCCACAACCUUACCUUUACCUAAAUUAUCUGACUUCCAUGUUCUGACAAAUCCCUUAGGUGCAAAAGGGCAUAUCCUUAAAUUUGCAUUUCUCAUAUUACUAAUAAGAUUGUACAUCCAUAUAUUUGUUUAGCCAUUUGGAUUUUUCAUUCUGCCAAUUGCUUAUUGAUAUCCUUUGUUCCAUUUUCCAUCAAGUGUCCUAAAUUUUUCUUGUUGAUCCAUAGGAAUAGGGAUCGACAAAUUACAGCUUGAAGGCCAAAUCCUGCUUACCAUGUAUUUUUAUAAAUAAGUUUUUACAGACACACAACCAUUAUUCACUUCAUUUAUGUAUUGUCCAUGGUUGCUUUCAUGCUACGACAGCAGCGUUCAACAGUUGCAACAGAGAACAUAUGACCCACAAAACCUAAAAUAUUUACUUUCUAUUUACACAACAAUCCAUGUUCUAGAUAGCAAUCUCUUGUCUCUUUUACAUGUUGCAAAUAAUUUUUCCUGGUCUAUCACCUAUCUGUAAAUAUUUAUGUUUGAGGUCCCUUCUGGAGCAAGGAUCCUUAGUUUGAUAUAGUCAAAUCUAUUAAUUUCUUGAUUCGUUGUUUGUAUUUUAUGAGUCUUACUUAAAAAGUUCUAUCCUGUCCCAAAGUCACAAUAAUACCUUAUACUUUCUUCUCUUUGCUUUAGAGUUGUAUUUUCACAGUGUGAUCUUUAAUUUCUAAAAUAUAUGGUGUGAGGUAGGAAAUUGAGAUUUAUUUUUCUAUAUAAAAUGAACUCUUUUGGAGUUCCCUUUGUGGCUCAGCAGUUAACAAACCCAACUAGUAUGAGGAUGUGGGUUCCAUCCCUGGCCUUGCUCAGUGGGUUAAGGAUCUGGCAUUGCCAUGAGUUGUGGUGUAGGUCACAGAUGUGGCUCGGAUCCUAGGUUGAUGUGGCUGUGGCAUAGGCCUGCAGCUGCAGCUCCGAUUAGACCCCCUAGCCUGGGAACUUCCGUAUGCCAUGGGUGCAGCCAUAAAAAGCAAAAACAAAAACAAAAACAAAAAAUGAACUAUCUUUAAAAUAGAUAUAAAAGUAUUUUCCUUUAUAAGAUUGUUAGUUUACCUAAAGUUAAUAUGAUGCCUGACAUGCUUGUGUGCUAUUAUAUGUUUAAACUAUAUUCAGAAUGCAGAAUUAUGACAUAAAUUUGCACUCAUAUCUCAGUCUACACUGGUAUUAGAUCUUGCCUCCUUUCAGUGGGGCUUUUUGACUUCCAGUAACUUUGGGCUAGCUCUGAUUAUCCAGAAUAUCUCCCCAGGCCUUGACCCUUUUAAACACUUCUUCUGCCAAUCAAAUUGGACUUAAAAUCAUAUUUAAGAUGUUGGCUAAGGAUUUGGCUCACUGAAACAUCAAAAUAGCUUGUGUUCUUAUAUGUAUUCAUUAAUAGUAACAUGGCCAUUUACAUCUGGUGUUACCCAAACUGUCUUAACUCAGAAGGUGGCACUGUGAUAAACCAAUAUCAGGAGAGAAUUGAAGUAGAUUUAACUCAAGAGGACUAAAUCAGACAGUAAUAGAAAGCUAUACACAGUCUGGGAUAUUGCAUUUUGAGGUAAGCCUUUUUAAAAAUAACUUUUCAUUGCUUUUUUUUAGCUAGAAAGGAGGCUAAACUUCUUUCUUAAUGUCUGUUCUUUUGCAGAUUUUUUAUCCACAUCCUUUGCACACAUUUCCGUUCAGUGAUUAUCACCUUACUUAUCAUCAUCAUUCAGGACUCAUCUUUUCACAAUUAGUUUGCAAACAUAUUGAACCAUACCUUAGUUUCUUUUACAGAUCCCUGACUUCCGUACUUUCCAAGCAUUCUUUUCUUCAUGUUCAACCACUUUGUUUCCACCCUUUUUUUUUUCCUUUGGCCAUGCCUGUGGCAUGCGGAAGUUCCCUCAGAGAUUGAGCCUGUGCCACAGCAGCAAGCCCAGUCGGUCGCUACAUUGACAACACCUCGGGAUUUCAACCCCCUGCACUGCAAGGAACUCAUGUUUCCAUCCUUUAAUGGCUUCUAAUUUUCUUCCUAGGCUUUAUGUAUCACCAGAAAUCUACAGUGAGAGAGGUAGCAUUUACCAACUUACAUGAAUGUUCACUUCUCCAAUUCAGGGUAUUCCCUCUUCUGUUAUGGAAAUACCUGGGAAAAAAGAGGUUGGUAAUCAGGAGUUUACUUGGGGAAUAUAGGAUUGAAGCAGAAAGAGAUAGAUAAUGUAAUAUUUUUGGCCUUAAUAGAAAAACAGUUUAUUUCUUACUAGAAAAGAAAUACAAGUACAUUAUAGAAAAUAUACUAAAUGAAAGUAAAUUGUAAUUCCUUGAAAAAAAUAGGAUUAUAUUAUAGAUAAUUAGUAAGCUGCUUUUUAAACUCGACAACAUAUUACAAGCAUUUUUCAAUGUUAUUAAUAUUCUAGUGUUAUUUUAAUGGCCAUAUAAUAUUGCAGUGUUAAAUUAAAUCAAUCUCUAUUAUUUCCAACUUUGCAAUAUAAACAAAGCUGUGAGAAAUAGUCUUAUAACUAGAUCUUUUUGCAUAUCUAUAAUUUUGGAUAAUUCUAGAAACUAAGAUAAUGUUAAAAGAAAAAUUGCUGUAUUGAAAUUAAAGUUUUUUACUUGUGUACAUUUUUAUUCAAUUUAUUCUUAGUACCUGGCAUAUAAUAGGUAUUCAAUAACCCUUUUUUUUUAAUGAUUGUUAUUUUUUCCAUUAUAGUUGGUUUACAGUGAACGUUUUGUAUAUACAUACUGCCUUGUGGCAUUUACAUUUUUUUCUGUUAAUUGGAUAAGGAAAAAUGGCAUCGCAUUUUAAGUUGCAUUUCUUUGAUUGAAAAAGAGGUUGAACAUCUUAAAAUGUAUUUACUGUCCAUUGAGGUUUUUUUUUCCUUUUGUCUCUUUAGGGCCACACUCACAGCAUGUGGAGGUUCCCAGGCUAGGGACUGAAUCUGAGCUGUAGCUGCACACAGCAACACCAGAUCUGAGCUGCAUCUGCAACCUACACCACAGCUCACAGCAACACCAGAUCCUUAACCCACUGAGCGAGGCCAGGGAUUGAACCUGUGUCCUCAUGGAUGCUAGUCAGAUUUGUUUCUGCUGAGCUGCAAUGGGAACUCCCCGUUGAGUUCUUUUUGUUUAUCCCCAUCCUUUGUCCAUUGUUCAUUGCAGUGACUAUUGUCGUCUUAACUGCUUUUCCUCAUCAGCUCAGCUCCACUCUUUGAUUUGUUACAUGUGAAUAUAUUAAAAUUUUAAGUAUAAUGUUUAUGUUUUCAUAUAUCAUCGUCUGUCCAUCUUUACCUUGUGGGUUUCCACCUUUGAUGAUAUGUUUUGAAAGUUUCCUCAAGAUUUUGUAAAUAUUCACAAACAUUUUCUUAUAAUUAUCUUAUGAUUUCAUUUUUCAAAGCUUCAUAUUGUUAAUCCACAUGCAGUGUAUUUUGAUAUUGGUGCAAGGUAGGGAUAUAACCUGUGUUUUGUUUUUCCCAAAUGCUUAACCAGUCGUCUCAAAGGAAAUGGUUUAGUGUUGAGGUAUUUCAUACCAGCCAGAAAGAGGCAUAAAUUUAUAUCCUUUGGAGAGAUUAGAUAUAAGUGAAAUUAUCUCUAAUUUGAUAAAUCAUUCUUAUUUGUAUGAGGAAACUAUUUUCCUUUUCAAUUCAGUCAAGUAUAUCUCAUCUGUUUUAAUUUAAUAGAGUACUUGAAUAAUUUAUUUUCCUUAAGGUGUUUUUAUUUGUAUUGAAAUAGCGUUUCUCAUUCCUAAAUAAUAUAGAUUAACAAUCUAGAGAUCAUCUUUAAUAUAUGUCAUUAUCUAAAGUUACUAUUUUCAUCAACUUCUAAAUUAAAUUUUUUUUUUGCUUCUUAAAUUUUCAAACUUCAAUUCUUCUCUCUGUGGAAUUUUAAAUAUUAGUCUUCAAAGGUAAAAAAAAAUCUGUUUUUGGAAUAGAGGUCCUGAUUUUAAAGUAAGUAUCUUCAUCUGUUUUCAUUACAUAAUGAUUAAGUAUGGAAUACUGCAUUUCUUGAUAACUUGUUCAAAUAUAUGCACUAAUUUUAGUCAUAAUUUAAAAUCAUAAAAAUAAGAGGUUAGGAUACUAUGCAUUUGUGUUUUAUUACUUGUAAAAAUUUAACUUUUUCUAUUCAUAAUAAAUGCUCGGUUUAAAGCAAGUUGGUUGGGUGUGCUUUUUUCACCCAUUUAAAAUGUUUUUCAGAAUUCUGAGAUAAUGGUAGUUGGUUUUUUAGCUUGCCAUGUUUUGAGUAUGACUCUUAUAAGUAUGCUACUCUAAGAGAUGCUUAUUGGAUUAAAAGUGUUCCAUUUUUCUUGCUCAUCCCUAUUCUGCAGUCAUAGGAACUGAUACAUGUGUUCUUUAUUUCAUUUAAGAAAUAUUUAUUGGAGUUCCUGUCAUAGCACAGUGGAAGCAAAUCUGACUAGGAACCAUGAGGUUGCCACUUUGAUCCCUGGCCUUGCUCAGUGGGUUAAGGACCCGGCGUUGCCGUGAGCUGUGGCGUAGGUCAUAGAUGCAGUAUGGAUCCCCUAUUGCUGUGGCUGUGGGGUAGGCCUGCAGCUACAGCUCCAGUUUGACUCCUAGCCUGGGAACCUCCAUAUGCCAUGGAUGCAGCCCUGAAAAG
rnacentral:lncRNA from 1 species